CGCCCGGCCCCCUCCCGCCGCGGACGCAGCGAGUUUCCUUCGGGCCGCGGCGCGGUCCGGCGCCUCAGCCCUCGCGGGCCCUCUCAGCACCUGGGAGGAGGCUCAUGCCCGCCCCAAGGCCGCGCCGCCUCGGCCGGAGUUCCGGGCCUCUUCCUCCGGGUCUUUCCGCCGGUCAGCUCCGCGCCGCGCUCCGGAGGCCGUCGCGCGCGGUGCAGCCCCUUCUCUCAGGCGCCCGGGAGCAAAUCCAGACCCUAAGCCGCGCGGAUACCGGUGCCUAGUGGCGCGACAGAAAUUGUACCCCGCGCUCAACUUGUCGGCUCAGCCCGCGAGCGCCAGCGGUCGGCUCAUGAAUAUUUAUACACCUGGAUCUGGGCUCCGCCCCCACCCAGGCGCGCCAAUCACCGGGCUACCAACUCAUGAAUAUUUAUAUAGCCUGGACCAGGGCUCCGUCCCCGUCCGGGAGCGCCAAUCACCGGCGGCGGGGCGGAGCCCACGCGCCCAGGGCGCUGCUGUCCUUAAGGAAGUCCUCGGCGUCCGCGCGGCCCUGCGCGCCUUCUGCUCUGGGGAGUUCGGUCAGCUUGCAGGCCCUUGCUUCCCCUGUGGGCACAUGAAUCCUUCUGUCAUGGAUCCACCCUGUGCUGAGGAACAGCAGCCAAUGAAGGAGGAGAGAUAUCUUGCCCCAGGAGGUUCCCACCCCUGUGAGAAAGACCUCCCCUGAAGGCCCUUAAUUAAUUGCCCCUCGGGGCACAUUGGCCUGAAUCUCCCCUGUGAACUUCCUGUGAGGCUAAGGUGCAGAUCUGGUGGGUAGCUUGUGAUAUGGGGCUUUGGUGUCAAGGAAGGGGACAAGGGAAUGACCCACAGUGUUGGCUAUACUAUUACCAUAUGAAAGAAAUGAAUUUGCAAGUGGUAUCAUUGGUUAGCAUACCAAGUGUUUAAACAUUAUGUUGCUUAGGGUCAGGAAUUAAGUGUAACCUCAAUCCAAGAAAAUGUUAUUUGCCCUUGAUACUGGGGCUGUAACCCAGGAAUCACUGACCUACAUCCCCUACUCCAUCCUCCCCUUUUAAAUUUUGUUUUGAGACAAUGUCUUGCCCAGGUUGGCCAUGAACUUGUGAUCUUCUUGCAUCAGCCUCCAGAGUAGCUGAGAUUACAGGACUGACAGAUCCAAGAAAAUCUUGGCAUUUACAUAAUUUUCUUUUUGAAGUUUAUACGCUGUAGUUUACUGUACAGAUAGUGAGAAAGAAAUGUCACUGUCUCCUAUGUGUUUUAUUUAUAAUGCAUAUAAAUUGUGUACUGCAGUCUAAUUCCUUAGUUCCUUUUCAUUAAGCUUUCCCCCAUCCUUCUUUUUGAGACUUCAAUGAAAAGAUUGCCAGUUCUAGAACUUUAGUUUGAUUUGUUCUUUUUAAGUCUUCCAUUAUGUAAGUUCUUGUAAGUAUAAAAUUAAAUCUAACACAGGAGAAGCUGUAUUUAAUUCCACCUCUGAACUGCAUGUCAAAGAACCUUUAAAUCAAAAUAAAUAUUGGUUCAGGAAAAAGUUUACUUCUGGUAAGAAUGAUCCAUUUUAAACAGUGGUUUGAAUAAUAAGCUUUUAUAUCAAUAAUAGAAAUAAUACUUAUUAGGUCACUAAGGGCAUGAAGAUGACAAUGGCAUUUCUUUCUAUUUUAUGUUUAUCUUUGACCUGAUUCAGGUAAACAGGUAUAAUUUUUUCCAGAGGUGACUACACUAGACUAUAUUUUCCAGGAUGAGUCUUGUAUGUCUUAGAAGCAAGUUUCCUUCUAUAGGGAUUACCUUAUGGUUUAUUCAAGUAUAAUUUGUUAUAUACUUUUCAUAUGGUUUGUAAAAAUAAAC
rnacentral:lncRNA from 1 species